UGUCCUGCCAAGGGCAUGGCUGGGUAGCUAUGUACGGAAUGGAUAAGCGCUGAAAGCAUCUAAGCGCGAAGCCAACUUCAAGAUAAGAUUUCCCACCGCAAGGGUAAGACUCCAGAAAGACUAUCUGGUUGAUAGGUCGAAGGUGUAAGUGCAGCAAUGUAUUUAGCUUAUCGAUACUAAUAGGUCGAGGACUUGACCAAU
rnacentral:rRNA from 1 species